GACGAACGCUGGCGGCGUGCUUAACACAUGCAAGUCGAACGGUGACGAGGAGCUUGCUCCUCUGAUCAGUGGCGAACGGGUGAGUAACACGUGAGCAACCUGCCCCAGACUCUGGGAUAACAGUUGGAAACAGCUGCUAAUACCGGAUACGAGACGGAGAGGCAUCUCUACCGUCUGGAAAGUUUUUCGGCUGGGAUGGACUCGCGGCCUAUCAGCUAGUUGGUGAGGUAAUGGCUCACCAAGGCGACGACGGGUAGCCGGCCUGAGAGGGCGACCGGCCACACUGGGACUGAGACACGGCCCAGACUCCUACGGGAGGCAGCAGUGGGGGAUUUUGGACAAUGGGCGAAAGCCUGAUCCAGCGACGCCGCGUGGAGGACGAAGCCCUUCGGGGUGUAAACUCCUUUUCUCAGGGAAAAGGAUGAUGGUACCUGAGGAAUAAGCCCCGGCUAACUACGUGCCAGCAGCCGCGGUAAAGUCACGUCG
rnacentral:rRNA from 1 species